AGGAUGAACGCUGGCGGCAGGCCUAACACAUGCAAGUCGAGCGCCCGUAGCAAUACGGGAGCGGCAGACGGGAUAGUAACACGUGGGAACGCGCCCUUCGGUUCGGAAUAACUCAGGGAAACUUGAGCUAAUACCGGAUACGCCCUUACGGGGAAAGAUUUAUUGCCGAAGGAACGGCCCGCGUCCGAUUAGCUAGUUGGUGAGGUAAUGGCUCACCAAGGCUACGAUCGGUAGCUGGUCUGAGAGGAUGACCAGCAUCACUGGGACUGAGACACGGCCCAGACUCCUACGGGAGGCAGCAGUGGGGAAUAUUGGACAAUGGGCGCAAGCCUGAUCCAGCCAUGCCGCGUGGAUGAUGAAGGCCUUAGGGUUGUAAAGUCCUUUUAACGGGGAAGAUAAUGACGGUACCCGUAGAAUAAGCCCGGCUAACUUCGUGCCAGCAGCCGC
rnacentral:rRNA from 1 species